rnacentral:rRNA from 1 species
CACGUAGGGUGCGAGCGUUGUCCGGAAUUAUUGGGCGUAAAGAGCUCGUAGGCGGUGUGUCGCGUCGGCCGUGAAAACCUGCAGCUUAACUGUGGGCUUGCGGUCGAUACGGGCAGGCUUGAGUUCGGUAGGGGAGACUGGAAUUCCUGGUGUAGCGGUGAAAUGCGCAGAUAUCAGGAGGAACACCGGUGGCGAAGGCGGGUCUCUGGGCCGAUACUGACGCUGAGGAGCGAAAGCGUGGGGAGCGAACAGG